UAAAAGGCCCCUUCGGGGGUACACGAGUGGCGAACGGGUGAGUAACACGUGGGUAAUCUGCCCUGCACUUCGGGAUAAGCCUGGGAAACCGGGUCUAAUACCGGAUAUGAACUCCUGCCGCAUGGUGGGGGUUGGAAAGUUUUUCGGUGCAGGAUGAGCCCGCGGCCUAUCAGCUUGUUGGUGGGGUAAUGGCCUACCAAGGCGACGACGGGUAGCCGGCCUGAGAGGGUGAUCGGCCACACUGGGACUGAGACACGGCCCAGACUCCUACGGGAGGCAGCAGUGGGGAAUAUUGCACAAUGGGCGAAAGCCUGAUGCAGCGACGCCGCGUGGGGGAUGACGGUCUUCGGAUUGUAAACCCCUUUCAGUAGGGACGAAGCGCAAGUGACGGUACCUGCAGAAGAAGCACCGGCUAACUACGUGCCAGCAGCCGCGGUAAUACGUAGGGUGCGAGCGUUGUCCGGAAUUACUGGGCGUAAAGAGCUCGUAGGCGGUUUGUCACGUCGUCUGUGAAAUCCCUCGGCUUAACCGGGGGCGUGCAGGCGAUACGGGCAGACUUGAGUACUACAGGGGAGACUGGAAUUCCUGGUGUAGCGGUGAAAUGCGCAGAUAUCAGGAGGAACACCGGUGGCGAAGGCGGGUCUCUGGGUAGUAACUGACGCUGAGGAGCGA
rnacentral:rRNA from 1 species